rnacentral:rRNA from 1 species
AAGACUGACGCUCAUGUGCGAAAGUGUGGGUAGCGAACUGGAAAAUAACCCUGGUAGUCCACACCGUAAACGCUGUCUACUAGCUGUGUGUGAAUUUAAUUUGUGCGUAGCGAAGCAAACGCGCUAAGUAGACCGCCUGGGGAGUACGGCCGCAAGGUUAAAACUCAAAUGAAUUGACGGGGGCCCGCACAAGCGGUGGAGCAUGUGGUUUAAUUCGAUGCAACGCGAAGAACCUUACCUACUCUUGACAUCCAGAGAACUUUGCAGAGAUGCGAAGGUGCCUUCGGGAAUUCUGAGACAGGUGCUGCAUGGCUGUCGUCAGCUCGUGUCGUGAGAUGGUGGGUUAAGUCCCGCAACGAGCGCAACCCUUGUCCUUAGUUGCCAGCAUUAAGUUGGGCACUUUAAGGAGACUGCCGGUGACAAACCGGAGGAAGGGGGGGACGACGUCAAGUCAUCAUGGCCCUUACGAGUAGGGCUACACACGUGCUACAAUGGUAAGUACAGAGGGAAGCGAAGCAGCGAUGUGGAGCGGACCCCUUAAAGCUUAUCGUAAUCCGGAUUGGAGUCUGCAACUCGACUCCAUGAAGUCGGAAUCGCUAGUAAUCGCAGGUCAGCAUACUGCGGUGAAUACGUUCCCGGGCCUUGUACACACCGCCCGUCACACCAUGGGAGUGGGAUGCAAAAGAAGUAGCUAGUUUAACCUUCGGGAGAACGGUUACCACUUUGUGUUUCACGACUGGGGGUGAAGUCGUAACAAGGUAACC